GUCUCAGUAGAGUAAGGGAUAGAGCACGGUGCCCAGAAAGCACAAGUACGGGUUCGAGUCCCGUCUGAGGCU
rfam:Haemonchus placei strain MHpl1 genome assembly, scaffold: HPLM_scaffold0000775